rnacentral:rRNA from 1 species
UACGAGGGGGGCAAGUGUUGUUCGGAAUUACUGGGCGUAAAGGGAGCGUAGGCGGGCUCUUAAGUUGGAUGUUUAAAACCGGGGCCUAACCCCGGCGUGGCAUCCAAAACUGGGAGUCUUGAAUGGGACAGAGGCCAGUGGAAUUAGAGGUGUAGCGGUGGAAUGCGUAGAUAUCGUAAGGAAGACCAGUGGCGAAGGCGGGUCUCUGGACAGCUCCUGACGCUGAGGCACGAAGGUCAGGGGAGCAAACGGG